AGGACGAACGCUGGCGGCGUGCUUAACACAUGCAAGUCGAACGGUGAAGGAGAGCUUGCUCUCUGGAUCAGUGGCGAACGGGUGAGUAACACGUGAGUAACCUGCCCUUGACUCUGGGAUAAGCGUUGGAAACGACGUCUAAUACCGGAUACGAGCUUCAGUCGCAUGGCUAGGAGCUGGAAAGAUUUCGGCAAGGAUGGACUCGCGGCCUAUCAGCUAGUUGGUGAGGUAAUGGCUCACCAAGGCGACG
rnacentral:rRNA from 1 species